CGUAUAUUGCCGCCAUCUUUUGUUUUCCAACAUCUCUAUAAUUUGUGGCCUACUACAAUCCUUUUACCACACUCACACACACAUCUACUCAGCCUCAUCUUCAUGUAUUAUGGAAUACAUCACUUGGGAGAAAUAAAUAUAUUAUUCAGAA